GAACAUAAAUUUUCUCCACAAAGUACCAAAUAAAAAUUACAUACAAAAUUAAAAUGUCUAUAAAUAACUCAAAUGUUUCACAGUACAUUUUAGCACGAUUAGAAAAGACAAAUAUAAGUUUUGUGUCAAAGUUUUAAGUUUCUACGAAUAAUUUUAAUUGCAUUACAACGAAAAAUUGUAAACUUUCCCGUUUAUUCUACCAUUU